rnacentral:rRNA from 1 species
CCUGGCGACCUUAGCGCGUGGGAACCACUCGAUCCCAUCCCGAACUCGUCCGUGAAACCACGCAGCGCCUAUGAUCGUAUGAGAGUACUCAUGCUAAAGUCGGUCAUCGCCAGGC